rfam:Cryobacterium roopkundense strain RuG17 contig00005, whole genome shotgun sequence.
GACAAAUCCUAUUCACAACGGAUCGUCCGGCACGUUCCUGCCGGUGAAGGAGAUUAAU